GUGCUUGCUUCUGCAUCACAUAUAAUAAAAACUGGAAUGAGACAGAUAAGAUUAGUACAGCCGCUGUGCAAAGAUGACAUACAAAUUCAUAAAGUUUUCAUGUUAAAA